GACGAACGCUGGCGGCGUGCUUAACACAUGCAAGUCGAACGGAAAGGCCCUGCUUGCAGGGUACUCGAGUGGCGAACGGGUGAGUAACACGUGGGUGAUCUGCCCUGCACUUCGGGAUAAGCCUGGUAAACUGGGUCUAAUACCGGCUAGGAGCCAUUUUUAGUGUGAUGGUUGGAAAGUUUUUUCGGUGUAGGAUGGGCUCGCGGCCUAUCUGCUUGUUGGUGGGGUAAUGGCCUACCAAGGCGGCGACUGGUAGCCGGCCUGAGAAGGUGGACGGCCACAUUGGGACUGAGGGACGGCCCAGACUCCUACGGGAGGCAGCAGUGGGGAAUAUUGCACAAUGGGGGCAAGCCUGAUGCAGCGGCGCCGCGUGGGGGAUGACGGCCUUCGGGUUGUAAACACCUUUCGCUAGGGACGAAGCUUUUGUGACGGUACCUAGAUAAGAAGCACCGGCUAACUACGUG
rnacentral:rRNA from 1 species